UACGGGGGGGGGCAAGCGUUGUUCGGAAUUACUGGGCGUAAAGGGCUCGUAGGCUGCCAACUAAGUCGGACGUGAAAAUCCCGUCGGCUUAACCGGGGAACUGCGUCUGGAUACUGGGUGGGCUUGGAAUUCGGGAGAGGGAUGCGGAAUUCCAGGUGUAGCGGUGAAAUGCGUAGAUAUCUGGAAGAACACCGGUGGCGAAGGCGGUCUGCUGGGCAGUAGCUGACACUGAGGCGCGAAAGCAUGGGGAGCGAACAAGG
rnacentral:rRNA from 1 species